CAGACGCGGAUUUUGUCCAUGCCCAAGACGCCAUCUAACGGUCGGAUAUUAAACUACGAUUGUUAAGAGGAAAAACAAAAAUGACUGUUGUUCCGGAUCAAAGAAUAUUUUACGCUUUGAUUAUCCGCAUCACGAAAAACAAUCACGUAAAACGUGCUGGCCAAUCAAAGACCAGGAUAUAUGGGGGAGGGGAAUGCUGAACGUUGACAAAUGGGACGAGUUUGAAACAACACCCGCAUGCUGCACUACAACUUGAAUGACAUUUCAAAAAUCAGAUACUAACAUUUUAGCCCAAGCUAAAUUAUAUUAGAUAACUGCCCAAAAGAGAAAUUGGGAACAGUGAUUGCUCCAGCCCUAUUUGAAUGGUUGCUAUGCGAGAAUUCAGUGCCGAUCGUCAUUUGAAUUUCUCGUCGAUAUUUCUGAAUUGAAACAGAUACCAGUUCCAACGUCUCCAAUACGUUGUCUGAAUAACAAAAAGAAGUCUAUUUUAGCAAUAGUACGACUUGAUCAAAAAACCUAUUGCAGUGAUGGUGAAAUGCAUAACAUGAAUGAGAAUUUCAAGGCUAAACACCAAAAGAAAUCAAAGAAUCGGCGGCACGUCAAAGUAAAAAUCCAGCAAAAACUAAUGGUGUGGUAUUUAGAGGAAAAAGUUUCAACAUAUAGAAUAGAGAUAAGAAAGUUAAAACAACAUACCUUCUUCAAGACAGUGAUGCUGCAACACAUGCCUAACCGGUGGAUGCCCAAAAUCAGCCAAGCUGUUCGACACCAGUUUUAAGUACUUUGGGUAAUCACAUUAAGGUUGAACACUGAAUUGAAAAGUUGUUGUGCACCAGAAGCUCUUUCUAAGCAACCUAUAGGGGCUAAGUAUGUACAAAUCAUUUUACACUUUUGAGAAACUUGUGAAACACAUUACGUGGAAGUUUGUCCAAUAGUUGAUUUAACACUUAAGGCAAACUCACAGAAACACUCAACUACAAAGCAUGGCGCUUCACAUUUUAACUAGUGUCGGCAUUGCAUUGCAAUUACAGUCACAUUUCAGCCACAUGCCUGUACGUCUUCACGUUUUCUACGUCCUUUAGAAAACACGUGGUGGCUUUUGCAUGCUGCAUAGGGCAAACAUUCUGCCAUAACCAAGGGCAUGCUGUAUUUUGUGGAAAGACAAAUAGUUGUUCACUAAAGUGUUUAAUGUUUUUCAAUUUCACAAAAAAUCUUGGUACUUUCACGAAACGAGCACUUACUGAGAUUGAAAUAGUCGUUAAAACUAGCGCCAUUACAGUCAACACAUCAGAAAUAGAAAAGGCGCGCGCCAUCUUGGGACAAAGCACUACACCAUUGCCAAAACAAGUGAAGAUCACACGAAGUUGAUUUAAUUUAGUUUUAAUUUUUUAACAAUAAAUUGUAGAAUGUAAGUUUUUUCUUUUACCUUUACGAAAAGAAGGAACAGGAAAUCAACUUUAGUUAUUAACCUUCGCGUGGUUUGAAAGAAAAAAAAACAUGUUAGUUGCUAAAUUAAGGACGUAAAUCAGCAAAGUCUUUCAUAACCCUCAAGCACAGCGUUGACAAGAACACGUUUUGUCUUUUGAAUUAUGAAUUGUGAUGAAGUGAUGUGAUAAUUUUAAAUAAAAUUGGCAAUGUGUAACAUGAUCGUUUCUUUUUUCCUUCCUCGUUUCUCUUCUGUUACGUUUUCUGUUAAAUCAUGCCAUUUUGAAGGACAGAAUUUAUUUCACGGGGAUUUCCUGAUAAAUUUCACCAGAAAUAUCUGAGGUUUCUGGUUUCUUGCCAUGUUUUGUGAUAAUGAGUUGUUAUCAAAGCUAGAUAACAAUCACUGGAAUUCCUGUCGAUGUCUCUGUUAGGUCUCUUAUAAUAAGUCUCUAAUAAAGCAUUGCGCCCAGGUAUUUCAGCUUUGUCUUCGUCUAUUCUGUGGAAUUGUAGACGUAAAUUACUGAGGCGAUAACUUUAAAAAACAAACGGGGGAUCCACCAGCCAGAUCUGAAAAUCUUUUGACGAAAAGAAACGAUGACUCUUUUGAGGAGCAGGCCGCGGCUAACCAACAAAUUAAGUCUUCCAGACCGGUUCUCUGGAUACCGACGGCUUAUCAAAACACUGAUAGCAUCACCAACAAUGAAGGAAACAAAUUAAACUUGGACAAAUUUCUAAAAAACAAUAUCUUCAUUCACCGGAUGAUCCUACCAGGGAUCGAACCUGGAAUCUCUUGCUCCGUAGGCAAGCGCCUUAUCCAUUGGGCCACAGGACCACAUUUUAGAAGCAUAAAAGUAAAUGUUCGUUUCUAAAUAUGGCGAAUUGUUUCAAGUGAUUGUAUCCAAUGAUUGGAUGGCAAAAAAUACGAUAAAUCAUGCCAUGUAUAUUCUACUUGGCACGGAGCACCAUCAACUGGAAGUGACCCGAAACAUUGGCACACCCAUUCGAAGAACUUAUGGUAAAUUAAUUUCAGUCGUGUUUUCCUUGCCUUUUUUUUUUUUUUUUACUCCCGUUACUGAUAUCCCAGGUUUAUUUCACCCGCAUUGUUUGUUGAAUCUCACAAAGUUGGUGCGCAAGUAAAAAAGUUCUCUUUUCAA